AGCAGGCGGCCGGGCGUU
rnacentral:misc_RNA from 1 species